rnacentral:rRNA from 1 species
GAUGAACGCUGGCGGCGUGCUUAACACAUGCAAGUCGAGCGAAGCGCUAAAGCGGAUUUCUUCGGAUUGAAGUUUUAGUGACUGAGCGGCGGACGGGUGAGUAACGCGUGGGUAACCUGCCUCAUACAGGGGGAUAACAGUUGGAAACGGCUGCUAAUACCGUAUAAGCGCACAGUACCGCAUGGUACGGUGUGAAAAACUCCGGUGGUAUGAGAUGGACCCGCGUCUGAUUAGGUAGUUGGUGGGGUAACGGCCUACCAAGCCGACGAUCAGUAGCCGACCUGAGAGGGUGACCGGCCACAUUGGGACUGAGACACGGCCCAAACUCCUACGGGAGGCAGCAGUGGGGAAUAUUGCACAAUGGGGGAAACCCUGAUGCAGCGACGCCGCGUGAGCGAAGAAGUAUUUCGGUAUGUAAAGCUCUAUCAGCAGGGAAGAA